rnacentral:misc_RNA from 1 species
AAGUCGUAACAAGGUCUCCGUAGGUGAACCUGCGGAGGGAUCAUUAUAGAAACCUUUAACAUCCAGGGGGUGGGGGGUUAGAGUUGUGGCCUAUUUGGCCAUGCUCUCUCUCUCUCUCUCUCCUUGGACAAACAACCAACACACAUGACUAGGAAAAAAAGAAACAGAGAACAGCAGUGAUGUGUAGUAGACUGUGUGGAGGAAAGGAGAAUGAUUUGACUUGAAUCCUCGCAGCAUAUACAACACAACACAGCAUGCAAAAGUUCUUGUCUGAUAAGUAGCUUGCUGAUUUGGAGUUACUACAAUUCAAUACAACUUUCAACAACGGAUCUCUUGGCUCUCA